rnacentral:rRNA from 1 species
GGAGUUAGUGGCAGACGGGUGAGUAACGCGUGGGAACCUACCUUUAGGUACGGAACAACAGUUGGGAACGACUGCUAAUACCGUAUGUGCCCUAUGGGGGAAAGAUUUAUCGCCUAAGGAUGGGCCCGCGUUGGAUUAGCUAGUUGGUGGGGUAAAGGCCUACCAAGGCGACGAUCCAUAGCUGGUCUGAGAGGAUGAUCAGCCACACUGGGACUGAGACACGGCCCAGACUCCUACGGGAGGCAGCAGUGGGGAAUAUUGGACAAUGGGCGCAAGCCUGAUCCAGCCAUGCCGCGUGAGUGAUGAAGGCCCUAGGGUUGUAAAGCUCUUUCAGCGAGGAGGAUAAUGACGUUACUCGCAGAAGAAGCCCCGGCUAACUUCGUGCCAGCAGCCGCGGUAAUACGAAGGGGGCUAGCGUUGUUCGGAAUCACUGGGCGUAAAGCGCACGUAGGCGGACUUUUAAGUCAGGGGUGAAAUCCCGGGGCUCAACCCCGGAACUGCCUUUGAUACUGGAAGUCUUGAGUCCGAGAGAGGUGAGUGGAACUCCGAGUGUAGAGGUGAAAUUCGUAGAUAUUCGGAAGAACACCAGUGGCGAAGGCGGCUCACUGGCUCGGUACUGACGCUGAGGUGCGAAAGCGUGGGGAGCAAA